CUCUAGUGACUUACUUAUAUCCUGUUGUAUUAGACCUGUGCAUCCUGAAAACUGUAUAUAAGAUCGGUAAAUGCUGGUUUCCUGAAUACCACAAUUGGCGCCGGAAAGGGACUUGAAGACUUUUCGUCUGGUAAGGAUAAUAUCCUGCUAAGCACGCACACACUGUUUAGGUGUACAGGCUUAUUUCCUUUCCAGUCAGAAUUGCUCUUUUUAGACCCUGAGACAGAGACAUGAACACCAAGGCAGUGGAACGUUCCUGCGGCUGCAGUGCACUGGGAGUGAGGAUUUACAAAAGAGGCUUGUUAAAGCUUGAAGAACCCUGUGUGAUAGAACAAAGAAGAAAUGAAGAAAAAUAAAGUCCUAUGACAAACUAAAGAUUAUGACUGCAAGAGUUUAUUUGAUCAAGGUUAAAAAGAGACACGCUAUUAGUUUUGAUUAAACUUUAUGGAAUUUCUGCUGAUACCAAGGUUGAAAAACCAAGUUUCGAUUAUUCUUUUCCUUUUCUUCUCUCUCUCUCUCUCUCUCUUUUCCUUUUUAUCCAUGUACUUUUUACUCCUCUUUCUUCUCUUUCCUUAAGUUCAGUUUGUAUAUUUUGUAUAAUCAAAGUCCUUAAAAAUGCACAUUACUUGCUAUUGCACUCUUCUCUAGAACAGGACAUAGAUAAGAAAAUUUAAAAUAUUGUUUUUGAUCCUUUUUCAUUCAAUUGCCAUGUAACAGGAAGUUCCGAUGGAAUUGAACAUAAGAAAAUAAGUAUAUAAAGAAUUGAUAAAGUACCUAACACCCAAAGAGGAAAAAAAAAGAAAGCAAUGAAUCUAUCAAUAUUGGUUUCAAGUUUCUCAUGUCUUAUGACUAGUUGUUAAUGCUCUGAAAUUUUGUUUUUAUGUAUUUAGUUAUUUUUACAUUUUUAUUCCCUUUUUCAUGUAUGAGAUGGCAAACAUACCAAUAGUCUCUCUAUUUUUCAUUCCUUCUUCUAUUUUUUUCCCAUAACAAUUAAUCUGUGAGGUAGGUUGGGCUGAGAGAGAGUGACUGGCCCAAAGUCACCCAGCCAGCUUUUAUACCUAAAGUGGGACUAGAACACCUAGUCUCCUGGUUUUUCACCACUACACCAAAUGGUGUAUUUGAAUUUAUUUACAUAUUUCUCUGCACAUACCUAUUUUUACAUUUCCCUUAUUUAAUAUAUGAUUACACAUCAUUUUAGAAAUAUUUUCUUGACACGUCUUUUCUAAAAAAGAUAACAAACUGUUAGAUAAAAUGCAGUUUUUAAAGGAUACAUUUCAGCUUUCUGCUACUCUAAAAACUAAAAAUAAAAACCCAAUAUCUGCCAGAAAACUAUAUUUGAUGUGAUGUUAAUUAUAGUCUUGCAUACAUCUCUCCAAUGGCUAUAUUUCCUUAAUAAAGCAGUUUCUCGAGAA